rnacentral:lncRNA from 1 species
ACAAAAACUGACUCCCGGGCAUAUUUUUUUCGGCCUUUAUGGGCAAAGAACUUUAGUACCGCUCAAAAUGAGGCCACCCAGUAGUUAGGUGUGAAUUUUCGAGACCUUUGGCACCGUUCUAAGAUGGGUCCUCUCUUCGUAGGCUAAUGCAUUGGCCCUUUUUUGACCCGUUUUGGGGCGAAAACAAAAACUGACUCCCGGGCAUAUUUUUUUCGGCCUUUAUGGGCAAAGAACUUUAAGUACCGCUCAAAAUGAGGCCACCCAGUAGUUAGGUGUGAAUUUUCGAGACCUUUGGCAUCGUUCUAAGAUGGGUCCUCUCUUCGUAGGCUAAUGCAUUGGCCCUUUUUUGACCCGUUUUGGGGCGAAAACAAAAACUGACUCCCGGGCAUAUUUUUUUCGGCCUUUAUGGGCAGAGAACUUUAGUACCGCUCAAAAUGAGGCCACCCAGUAGUUAGGUGUGAAUUUUCGAGACCUUUGGCAUCGUUCUAAGAUGGGUCCUCUCUUCGUAGGCUAAUGCAUUGGCCUUUUUUGACCCGUUUUGGGGCGAAAACAAAAACUGACUCCCGGGCAUAUUUUUUUCGGCCUUUAUGGGCAAAGAACUUUAGUACCGCUCAAAAUGAGGCCACCCAGUAGUUAGGUGUGAAUUUUCGAGACCUUUGGCACCGUUCUAAGAUGGGUCCUCUCUUCGUAGGCUAAUGCAUUGGCCCUUUUUGACCCGUUUUGGGGCGAAAACAAAAACUGACUCCCGGGCAUAUUUUUUUCGGCCUUUAUGGGCAAAGAACUUUAGUACCGCUCAAAAUGAGGCCACCCAGUAGUUAGGUGUGAAUUUUCGAGACCUUUGGCACCGUUCUAAGAUGGGUCCUCUCUUCGUAGGCUAAUGCAUUGGCCCUUUUUUGACCCGUUUUGGGGCGAAAACAAAAACUGACUCCCGGGCAUAUUUUUUUCGGCCUUUAUGGGCAAAGAACUUUAGUACCGCUCAAAAUGAGGCCACCCAGUAGUUAGGUGUGAAUUUUCGAGACCUUUGGCAUCGUUCUAAGAUGGGUCCUCUCUUCGUAGGCUAAUGCAUUGGCCCUUUUUUGACCCGUUUUGGGGCGAAAACAAAAACUGACUCCCGGGCAUAUUUUUUUCGGCCUUUAUGGGCAGAGAACUUUAGUACCGCUCAAAAUGAGGCCACCCAGUAGUUAGGUGUGAAUUUUCGAGACCUUUGGCAUCGUUCUAAGAUGGGUCCUCUCUUCGUAGGCUAAUGCAUUGGCCCUUUUUUGACCCGUUUUGGGGCGAAAACAAAAACUGACUCCCGGGCAUAUUUUUUUCGGCCUUUAUGGGCAGAGAACUUUAGUACCGCUCAAAAUGAGGCCACCCAGUAGUUAGGUGUGAAUUUUCGAGACCUUUGGCAUCGUUCUAAGAUGGGUCCUCUCUUCGUAGGCUAAUGCAUUGGCCCUUUUUUGACCCCUUUUUGGGGCGAAAACAAAAACUGACUCCCGAGCAUAUUUUUUUCGGCCUUUAUGGGCAAAGAACUUUAGUACCGCUCAAAAUGAGGCCACCCAGUAGUUAGGUGUGAAUUUUCGAGACCUUUGGCAUCGUUCUAAGAUGGGUCCUCUCUUCGUAGGCUAAUGCAUUGGCCCUUUUUUGACCCGUUUUGGGGCGAAAACAAAAACUGACUCCCGGGCAUAUUUUUUUCGGCCUUUAUGGGCAAAGAACUUUAGUACCGCUCAAAAUGAGGCCACCCAGUAGUUAGGUGUGAAUUUUCGAGACCUUUGGCAUCGUUCUAAGAUGGGUCCUCUCUUCGUAGGCUAAUGCAUUGGCCCUUUUUUGACCCGUUUUGGGGCGAAAACAAAAACUGACUCCCGGGCAUAUUUUUUUCGGCCUUUAUGGGCAAAGAACUUUAGUACCGCUCAAAAUGAGGCCACCCAGUAGUUAGGUGUGAAUUUUCGAGACCUUUGGCAUCGUUCUAAGAUGGGUCCUCUCUUCGUAGGCUAAUGCAUUGGCCCUUUUUUGACCCGUUUUGGGGCGAAAAACAAAAACUGACUCCCGGGCAUAUUUUUUUCGGCCUUUAUGGGCAAAGAACUUUAGUACCGCUCAAAAUGAGGCCACCCAGUAGUUAGGUGUGAAUUUUCGAGACCUUUUGGCAUCGUUCUAAGAUGGGUCCUCUCUUCGUAGGCUAAUGCAUUGGCCUUUUUUGACCCGUUUUGGGGCGAAAAACAAAAACUGACUCCCGGGCAUAUUUUUUUCGGCCUUUAUGGGCAAAGAACUUUAGUACCGCUCAAAAUGAGGCCACCCAGUAGUUAGGUGUGAAUUUUCGAGACCUUUGGCAUCGUUCUAAGAUGGGUCCUCUCUUCGUAGGCUAAUGCAUUGGCCCUUUUUUGACCCGUUUUGGGGCGAAAACAAAAACUGACUCCCGGGCAUAUUUUUUUCGGCCUUUAUGGGCAGAGAACUUUAGUACCGCUCAAAAUGAGGCCACCCAGUAGUUAGGUGUGAAUUUUCGAGACCUUUGGCAUCGUUCUAAGAUGGGUCCUCUCUUCGUAGGCUAAUGCAUUGGCCCUUUUUUGACCCGUUUUGGGGCGAAAACAAAAACUGACUCCCGGGCAUAUUUUUUUCGGCCUUUAUGGGCAAAGAACUUUAGUACCGCUCAAAAUGAGGCCACCCAGUAGUUAGGUGUGAAUUUUCGAGACCUUUGGCAUCGUUCUAAGAUGGGUCCUCUCUUCGUAGGCUAAUGCAUUGGCCCUUUUUGACCCGUUUUGGGGCGAAAACAAAAACUGACUCCCCCGGGCAUAUAUUUUUUCGGCCUUUAUGGGCAAAGAACUUUAGUACCGCUCAAAAUGAGGCCACCCAGUAGUUAGGUGUGAAUUUUCGAGACCUUUGGCAUCGUUCUAAGAUGGGUCCUCUCUUCGUAGGCUAAUGCAUUGGCCCUUUUUUGACCCGUUUUGGGGCGAAAACAAAAACUGACUCCCGGGCAUAUAUUUUUUCGGCCUUUAUGGGCAAAUAACUUUAGUACCGCUCAAAAUGAGGCCACCCAGUAGUUAGGUGUGAAUUUUCGAGACCUUUGGCAUCGUUCUAAGAUGGGUCCUCUCUUCGUAGGCUAAUGCAUUGGCCCAUUUUUGACCCGUUUUGGGGCGAAAACAAAAAACUGACUCCCGGGCAUAUUUUUUUCGGCCUUUAUGGGCAGAGAACUUUAGUACCGCUCAAAAUGAGGCCACCCAGUAGUUAGGUGUGAAUUUUCGAGACCUUUGGCAUCGUUCUAAGAUGGGUCCUCUCUUCGUAGGCUAAUGCAUUGGCCCUUUUUUGACCCGUUUUGGGGCGAAAACAAAAACUGACUCCCGGGCAUAUUUUUUUCGGCCUUUAUGGGCAAAGAACUUUAGUACCGCUCAAAAUGAGGCCACCCAGUAGUUAGGUGUGAAUUUUCGAGACCUUUGGCAUCGUUCUAAGAUGGGUCCUCUCUUCGUAGGCUAAUGCAUUGGCCCUUUUUUGACACGUUUUGGGGCGAAAACAAAAACUGACUCCCGGGCAUAUUUUUUUCGGCCUUUAUGGGCAAAGAACUUUAGUACCGCUCAAAAUGAGGCCACCCAGUAGUUAGGUGUGAAUUUUCGAGACCUUUGGCAUCGUUCUAAGAUGGGUCCUCUCUUCGUAGGCUAAUGCAUUGGCCCUUUUUUGACCCGUUUUGGGGCGAAAACAAAAACUGACUCCCGGGCAUAUUUUUUUCGGCCUUUAUGGGCAAAGAACUUUAGUACCGCUCAAAAUGAGGCCACCCAGUAGUUAGGUGUGAAUUUUCGAGACCUUUGGCAUCGUUCUAAGAUGGGUCCUCUCUUCGUAGGCUAAUGCAUUGGCCUUUUUUGACCCGUUUUGGGGCGAAAACAAAAACUGACUCCCGGGCAUAUUUUUUUCGGCCUUUAUGGGCAAAGAACUUUAGUACCGCUCAAAAUGAGGCCACCCAGUAGUUAGGUGUGAAUUUUCGAGACCUUUGGCAUCGUUCUAAGAUGGGUCCUCUCUUCGUAGGCUAAUGCAUUGGCCCUUUUUUGACCCGUUUUGGGGCGAAAACAAAAACUGACUCCCGGGCAUAUUUUUUUCGGCCUUUAUGGGCAAAGAACUUUAGUACCGCUCAAAAUGAGGCCACCCAGUAGUUAGGUGUGAAUUUUCGAGACCUUUGGCAUCGUUCUAAGAUGGGUCCUCUCUUCGUAGGCUAAUGCAUUGGCCCUUUUUUGACCCGUUUUGGGGCGAAAACAAAAACUGACUCCCGGGCAUAUUUUUUUCGGCCUUUAUGGGCAAAGAACUUUAGUACCGCUCAAAAUGAGGCCACCCAGUAGUUAGGUGUGAAUUUUCGAGACCUUUGGCAUCGUUCUAAGAUGGGUCCUCUCUUCGUAGGCUAAUGCAUUGGCCCUUUUUUGACCCGUUUUGGGGCGAAAACAAAAACUGACUCCCGGGCAUAUUUUUUUCGGCCUUUAUGGGCAAAGAACUUUAGUACCGCUCAAAAUGAGGCCACCCAGUAGUUAGGUGUGAAUUUUCGAGACCUUUGGCAUCGUUCUAAGAUGGGUCCUCUCUUCGUAGGCUAAUGCAUUGGCCCUUUUUUGACCCGUUUUGGGGCGAAAACAAAAACUGACUCCCGGGCAUAUUUUUUUCGGCCUUUAUGGGCAAAGAACUUUAGUACCGCUCAAAAUGAGGCCACCCAGUAGUUAGGUGUGAAUUUUCGAGACCUUUGGCAUCGUUCUAAGAUGGGUCCUCUCUUCGUAGGCUAAUGCAUUGGCCCUUUUUUGACCCGUUUUGGGGCGAAAACAAAAACUGACUCCCGGGCAUAUUUUUUUCGGCCUUUAUGGGCAAAGAACUUUAGUACCGCUCAAAAUGAGGCCACCCAGUAGUUAGGUGUGAAUUUUCGAGACCUUUGGCAUCGUUCUAAGAUGGGUCCUCUCUUCGUAGGCUAAUGCAUUGGCCCUUUUUUGACCCGUUUUGGGGCGAAAACAAAAACUGACUCCCGGGCAUAUUUUUUUCGGCCUUUAUGGGCAAAGAACUUUAGUACCGCUCAAAAUGAGGCCACCCAGUAGUUAGGUGUGAAUUUUCGAGACCUUUGGCAUCGUUCUAAGAUGGGUCCUCUCUUCGUAGGCUAAUGCAUUGGCCCUUUUUUGACCCGUUUUGGGGCGAAAACAAAAACUGACUCCCGGGCAUAUUUUUUUCGGCCUUUAUGGGCAAAGAACUUUAGUACCGCUCAAAAUGAGGCCACCCAGUAGUUAGGUGUGAAUUUUCGAGACCUUUGGCAUCGUUCUAAGAUGGGUCCUCUCUUCGUAGGCUAAUGCAUUGGCCUUUUUGACCCGUUUUGGGGCGAAAACAAAAACUGACUCCAGGGCAUAUUUUUUUCGGCCUUCAUGGGCAAAGAACUUUAGUACCGCUCAAAAUGAGGCCACCCAGUAGUUAGGUGUGAAUUUUCGAGACCUUUGGCAUCGUUCUAAGAUGGGUCCUCUCUUCGUAGGCUAAUGCAUUGGCCCUUUUUUGACCCGUUUUGGGGCGAAAACAAAAGCUGACUCCCGGGCAUAUUUUUUUCGGCCUUCAUGGGCAAAGAACUUUAGUACCGCUCAAAAUGAGGCCACCCAGUAGUUAGGUGUGAAUUUUCGAGACCUUUGGCAUCGUUCUAAGAUGGG